AUUAGGGAGCACAGCUUGCGCGGGGAGGUUAAGAUUUUCAGUUCCUCACGCGGGAUGUGAAUUUUUUUAGAUCCCCUUAAUUUAUCCCCGCAUCAUCCGCCAAAGGGCUAACUAGGAAACCCUCCCCAUCCCCCAGUCCGUGCGCCUCCCCGCGAUCCCAUUCCUCACCGAUCAAGACUCCUCCACAGAUUACUUUCAAGCUGUAGUCUGGAUCCGUCAAAGACUAUGUGGCCCUUCUCUCCUAGCAGCGCAGCACCACCAAUCUUUUCGUUCUCAUCGUCGGGAGAUGUAACGUGGAUCUCCAGAGACGACGCACUGACGACGCAGAUCUCGGCGAGGGAGGCGGCAGUAGUCGCGAGGCGGCGAUGAGGACAUCGACGCCGAUCUCACGUGGAUCCAGAUCUCCAACAGACCUUUCUUUAAUUGAGUACGAAGUUGUGCUGCUAGGAUGCAAGAUCGACGGAAUAUAUAUAGGACACUACAUGUUUUUCUUCUGGGUGCGUUGUAAUCUCCAUGCCCACACUCACUAGAUGGGAUGUCAAGAUGGGUUUGCUAGGAGAUACGUAAUGCCGUGAAGGACUGAUUGUUUGAUGGUAAUUUUCAAGAUGUGGCAAGAGUUGUAGUUAUAAUACCAAUAAUCAAAUGAAUUAUGCGGAAUCGACAAUUCUAUACUGGAGGAAGCUAAGAUCGCCAAAAAAAAAUGUGGACAGUACUUAUGUAUACGUAGAGUAUCAGAUAUCCAAGAAGAUGUAUACUAAGAUUCAAAACAUGUAUAUGUAAAUUUUCGUUCGGAUUUUUUUUCAACUGCCAAGAAUGCACUUUGUCACUUUUA